UACGUAGGCAGCGAGCGUUGUUCGGAGUUACUGGGCGUAAAGGGUGUGUAGGCGGUUCUUUAAGUUUGGCGUGAAAUCUCCCGGCUUAACCGGGGAACUGCGUCUGAUACUGGAUGGCUUGAGUGUGGGAGAGGGAUGCGGAAUUCCAGGUGUAGCGGUGAAAUGCGUAGAUAUCUGGAGGAACACCGGUGGCGAAGGCGGCAUCCUGGACCGGCAUUGACGCUGAGGAGCGAAAGCCAGGGGAGCAAACGGG
rnacentral:rRNA from 1 species